GUCUUACUCAAGCGGAAACAUGUCCCAUCUUUUAUACUGCGCAUGCGCGAGCUAAACAAGUGUAAUGCAGUGUUGACAAUAGAAAAUUAUAUUGGGAAGUUGUCAUUUCUACAGUAAAAACAGCUUUUUUUCAAGUAGUACGAAAUGUGACUUCGAUUUACCUGUGGAACUAUUUGAACAGAAGGUAAAGCAGUAAUUUUGUUGUAUUUAGAAAGCAAACAGGGUCAUGUUUUUAAAAAUAUAGCGCACUGAAUAUAAAUUUGAGCAUCAUUAAAAUGUGUUCGCUAUGAUGCCAUUUUGUCUCCGGUAUAUACGGAGUUCUGCUUUUAUACUUGUGGAUAUUCGAAUUUAUUUGGCUCAAAAACACCAUUACUUUAAUAUCCCUUUCUUGUUUUUCCUUGGAUAGGUUUUAACAAGAUAGAACUCGAGAUUACUUGGGUCCAAAGACGCUAGAUUAUAAAAUCCUGAUGUGACUUGAUACUACAAAUAGAAUAUGUCUUAUAUUUAAUACUACAAAUAGAAUGUCUUUUAAGUACAAACUUCAAUGAAUUGAUACAGUGUAAGGAUAGUGUUUAAAGUCGCUUCAUGUGUAGAAGCUGAAUUACUUUAGUUUAUACACUGUAUAUUGUCAAGAUCACAUGUUGAUAUGACUUACUAGCAACUUACUACAGACUUACUACUUGUUUAUAAUACUUUAGAGUUUGGC
rnacentral:lncRNA from 1 species